GUGCCAGCCGCCGCGGUAAUACGUAGGGUGCGAGCGUUAAUCGGAAUUACUGGGCGUAAAGCGUGCGCAGGCGGUUCGUUAAGUCAGAUGUAAAAGCCCCGAGCUCAACUUGGGAACGGCAUUUGAAACUGGCGGACUGGAGUGUGGCAGAGGGGGGUGGAAUUCCACGUGUAGCAGUGAAAUGCGUAGAGAUGUGGAGGAACACCGAUGGCGAAGGCAGCCCCCUGGGCCAACACUGACGCUCAGGCACGAAAGCGUGGGGAGCAAACAGGAUUAGAAACCCGCGUAGUCC
rnacentral:rRNA from 1 species